rnacentral:rRNA from 1 species
UACGGGGGGUGCAAGCGUUGUUCGGAAUCAUUGGGCGUAAAGAGCGUGUAGGCGGCUGAAUAAGUCAGAUGUGAAAUCCCUGGGCUCAACCCAGGAAGUGCAUUUGAAACUGUUCGGCUAGAGUAGGGGAGAGGGAAGUGGAAUUCCUGGUGUAGAGGUGAAAUUCGUAGAUAUCAGGAGGAACACCGGUGGCGAAGGCGACUUCCUGGCCCUAUACUGACGCUGAGACGCGAGAGCGUGGGGAGCAAACAGG